ACCAAUAGCAUAGUAGUAGUAGCAAGUAAUUUUUCCUCAUUAAAAGCUGGACAGGGGAGAGAAAAUAAAGCUGAAGGGUUUUGAGACAAGGACAAGGAACGAUCACUCUCCAGUUACCAUCACAGGCAAAACAGGAGAUCCCUUGCCAACCAGGAGCUGAUGGAAAUUUCCAAGGCCACCCCAAGAAGACAUCAGUUGUGCAGCUCCCAGGAAACAAGCAGCUUUCAGCACCUCAAUUAUACUUUUCCAAUUAAAAUGCUUUCCUUCCC